GACGACGCGAAGACAAUGAGGAGAGGGAGAAAGAGCCGAUCUUUGAGCUGGCUGCCAGGUGCUGAGCCGCCCCAAGAAAAAGCCCUCGUGGCAAGAAACUGAGGCCUCCAGCCAGCAGUCAGGGACCCGAGGCCUGAGACGGUGGAGGGUGAGCUUGCAAAGGGACCCCACAGUCGGGCCUUGAGAGGCCCACGGGCCUGGCCCACACCUCGGCUGCAGCCUUGUGAAGGUCCCUGAGCAGGGGACCCAGACUUCUGUCCUACAGAAACUUGGAGAUAAUAAAUGCCUGCUCUUCUACGGCA
rnacentral:lncRNA from 10 species